AUGGGCUGGAGUUCUCUUAAAGGCAGUGGAGUCUUUCCUGUCUUUGGAAAGGCACAGGAAAUGUCAGGCAUGUGGGUGAAACUUUCUCUUUAUCCUGCUCCAGAGCCAGAUCCAGAGCUCCUGCCACUUCCAGAGCCAGAGCAAGGGCCAGCUCCUGGGCUAGAGACAGGUCCAGCUCAAGUCCCACCACCUGUGGGAGAGCUGGAGCCAGCAUCACCUGCGUCGGCCCUUCCAGGACUGGAGUUAGGUCCACCAUUAACUUCAGCCCCAGAGCCAGCUCCUUUGCUGGAGCCAACUGGACUCUGGGCUCUAGUGACAUUUCCAGUUCCAUCUGCACAAAUAACGAUCAUGCUGGAUCCAGCCCCAGAACCCGCCUGGCCCUGGGCUGUGACCACCAAGAACCAGCUGAGGAAGGAGAUGCCAAACCUCUUGGACUUCCCUCCCCAGCUGGUGGCAGAACAGCUGACGAGGAUGGCUGCGACAUCAGGCCCCCAACAAAGAGCCCAGUGGCAGUGGCAGAUGACCCUCCUGAGACCAGCUGAACUACAGCCUUUUCCUCAGCAGGGGACACAGCUGGGACACUCAGGGUGCACAGGGCCACCUCCUUCCAUUCUGAUGGGGAGAACUUUGUGAUCCUUUUCCCAGGGGUCCCCUGAAGGCGACAAGGGAGGCCAUGACCCCCCUAUCUCCCUCACACCUUUUCCCUAGUGCCUAUUUACCUCUUUGGAGGGGCCGUAUUUCUGUCGUCAGUGGUAAAUGCGUUUGAAUGUUAUAUUAAAUGCCUGUUUCCUUCUCAGCCUGGGAGUGCUGGUGUGGUUCUUUGACUCUCUGCGCUCCUGGAAACGAGAUCCAGAAUCUCAUAUUCCUCAUUGAUUUAGGAACCUCGCAGAGUCAUCAGCUCAGUGUAUGUGGAAAAGGGAGAAGGGCCAGUUUCCUCCCUGCCUACUGAAGGACACCCCCAGGCCCCCUUCCUCAGAGGACAGUUUCAUUGCAGUGAGGUGCCCCUGGUCCAGGAGCAGAGACGGCCCCGCAGAUCUCCGGGGACUGAAAGGUUGGAGGGACUUUCUCAGGCAAAGCAGCAACCACUGAGAUGGAGGCAUCUUCAAAACUAGCACCUGCCUGGCCCUGGCACAUGUCCUGCCCAGGACGGUGAUGGCCUUUCUGCACUUGGAGGAGGAGGGAACAUUGUCCCGGUUUCUCUUUUGCAAAGAUUAGGAACUUGCUGUUUUCUGAUUUGGUCUCUGAAUUUGCAUCAGCUCUAAAGGGGGAAAAUAAUGUAAAAAGCUCAAAAUGUGCACGUGGAGAGGACGAGGCCAGAGGAAGGUCCUGCGCAGAUGGACGAAGGGUGGGCGGGCCUCUGCCUCCUCCAGCCCCUCUAGGGGCUCCCUGUUCACCCUUGACCUCGACUUAAUCCUGCUGGGAUUCUGGCCUGUGACAGAUUUGUGAUGCAGCUUUUAAGGCCACAGCCGGGUCUCCCUCCAUAACCCUGGUGCUCCCUGUGAGCUAGGAUCACUGUACUUCUUCAUACAAUUCUUUCUCAAGGCAGACAUUCUCUAGACGCCCCUAGCCUUUUUGUCAGGUCCCUCAUGGCCACUCCUCCCUGGCUGGGCCUGAUGGAUCCCAGGUGAGCUCU
rnacentral:lncRNA from 1 species